rnacentral:rRNA from 1 species
AAACUGCGAAUGGCUCAUUAAAUCAGUUAUCGUUUAUUUGAUAGUACUUUACUACUUGGAUAACCGUGGUAAUUCUAGAGCUAAUACAUGCUAAAAACCCCGACUUCGGGAGGGGUGUAUUUAUUAGAUAAAAAACCAACGCCCUUCGGGGCUCCCUGGUGAUUCAUGAUAACUUAACGAAUCGCAUGGCCUUGAGCCGGCGAUGGUUCAUUCAAAUUUCUGCCCUAUCAACUUUCGAUGGUAGGAUAGUGGCCUACCAUGGUCUCAACGGGUAACGGGGAAUUAGGGUUCGACUCCGGAGAGGGAGCCUGAGAAACGGCUACCACAUCCAAGGAAGGCAGCAGGCGCGCAAAUUACCCAAUCCCGACACGGGGAGGUAGUGACAAUAAAUACUGAUACAGGGCUCUUUCGGGUCUUGUAAUUGGAAUGAGUACAAUUUAAAUCCCUUAACGAGGAACAAUUGGAGGGCAAGUCUGGUGCCAGCAGCCGCGGUAAUUCCAGCUCCAAUAGCGUAUAUUAAAGUUGUUGCAGUUAAAAAGCUCGUAGUUGAACCUUGGGCCUGGCUGGCCGGUCCGCCUCACCGCGUGUACUGGUCCGGCCGGGCCUUUCCUUCUGGGGAACCGCAUGGCCUUCACUGGCCGUGUCGGGGAACCAGGACUUUUACUUUGAAAAAAUUAGAGUGUUCAAAGCAGGCCUUUGCUCGAAUACAUUAGCAUGGAAUAAUAGAAUAGGACGUGCGGUUCUAUUUUGUUGGUUUCUAGGACCGCCGUAAUGAUUAAUAGGGACAGUCGGGGGCAUCCGUAUUCAAUUGUCAGAGGUGAAAUUCUUGGAUUUAUUGAAGACGAACUACUGCGAAAGCAUUUGCCAAGGAUGUUUUCAUUAAUCAGUGAACGAAAGUUAGGGGAUCGAAGACGAUCAGAUACCGUCGUAGUCUUAACCAUAAACUAUGCCGACUAGGGAUCGGUGGGUGUUAUUAUUUUGACCCCAUCGGCACCUUACGAGAAAUCAAAGUUUUUGGGUCUGG